rnacentral:rRNA from 1 species
CAGCCGCCGCGGGAAUACGAAGGGGGCUAGCGUUGCUCGGAAUGACUGGGCGUAAAGGGCGUGUAGGCGGUUUUGACAGUCAGAUGUGAAAUUCCUGGGCUUAACCUGGGGGCUGCAUUUGAGACGUUAAGACUAGAGUGUGAGAGAGGGUUGUGGAAUUCCCAGUGUAGAGGUGAAAUUCGUAGAUGUGCGGAGUAACACCGAUGGCGAAGGCAGCCCCCUGGGCCAACACUGACGCUCAUGCACGAAAGCGUGGGGAGCAAACAGGAUUAGAUACCCCAGUAGUCCCUGUCUCUUAUAC